rnacentral:rRNA from 1 species
CCUGGUUGAUCCUGACAGUAGUCAUAUGCUUGUCCCAAAGAUUAAGCCAUGCAUGUCUCAGUGCAUGCCGAAUUAAGGUGAAACCGCGAAUGGCUCAUUAAAUCAGUUAUGGUUCCUUAGAUCGUACCCACAUUUACUUGGCUAAUUCUGGUAAUUCUAGAGCUAAUACAUGCAAACCAGAGUUCCGACCAGAGAUGGAAGGAACGCUUUUAUUAGUUCAAAACCAAUCGGUGGCGGGUUCGCUCGUCCAUCGUUUACAUUGGUGACUCUGAAUAACUUUGUGCUGAUCGCACGGUCUUGCACCGGAGACGCAUCUUUCAAAUGUCUGCCUAAUCAACUGUCGAUGGUAGGUUCUGCGCCUACCAUGGUUGUAACGGGUAACGGGGAAUCAGGGUUCGAUUCCGGAGAGGGAGCCUGAGAAACGGCUACCACAUCCAAGGAAGGCAGCAGGCGCGCAAAUUACCCACUUCCGGCACGGGGAGGUAGUGACGAAAAAUAACGAUACGGGACUCAUCCGAGGCCCCAUAAUCGGAAUGAGUACACUUUAAAUCCUUGAACGAGGAUCCAUUGGAGGGCAAGUCUGGUGCCAGCAGCCGCGGUAAUUCCAGCUCCAAUAGCGUAUAUUAAAGUUGUUGCGGUUAAAAAGCUCGUAGUUGAAUCUGUGUGCCACGCUGUCGGUUCAUCGCUCGCGAUGUUUAACUGACAUGAUUGUGGGACGUCCUACCGGUAGACUUAGCCCCUUCGUGGGCGGUCCAGCUAAUAUCCCAUCGCGGUGUUCUUCAUCGAGUGUCGAGGUGGGCCGGUACGUUUACUUUGAACAAAUUAGAGUGCUCAAAGCAGGCUAUGUUCGCCUGAAUACUGGGUGCGUGGAAUAAUGGAAUAGGACCUCGGUUCUAUUUUGUUGGUUUUCGGAAUCCCGAGGUAAUGAUUAAUAGGGACAGAUGGGGGCAUUCGUAUUGCGACGUUAGAGGUGAAAUUCUUGGAUCGUCGCAAGACGGACAGAAGCGAAAGCAUUUGCCAAAAAUGUUUUCAUUAAUCAAGAACGAAAGUUAGAGGUUCGAAGGCGAUCAGAUACCGCCCUA